GCAGGCUUAACUGCCCCACCUUAGCGCCCUGAGGACUCCUGGGAAACUGGUGGGAAAGGAAUGCUGGGAACCCCGGCUGGCGCUGCGCUUGAACCCGGCGUUCCGGAGGCUAACAGAGGGCGGAGUAUUAGCUAAAGCUUGAAACCAGACGACAGUUAAUCAAGAAAGAGAACCAUUGGAUGAUGUCGGAAGUCAAAAGUCCAGAACCUACAACGCAAAGCCAAGCUUAUCAGAGUUAGUCUCUGUCAAAUUUAUUGGCUGGUCUUAUGGCUUACUGGUAGAAUCUGAGAAAAGUGACCGCCAAAGGUCCAUCAGCAAAGGCUGCACUACCUCCCGUGAUUCUGCUGAGACCCUUGCUCUGUGGUAAGCCAGCCGCCACGUAGAAAGUGACCGCCCUGAGACACUUGUGCCAGAUAGGCUACUGGCAGAUGUCCCGUCAGCAGCUGUAGCUGAGCUCCCAGCUGACGCCAAGCAUUCAUUCUCUAGCCAGCCUUUUGUGACUUGGGAGAGACCUGGGAGACUAAAGACUACGGGCAGGUGUCGUCUUUUGAUGUGACAAGACAGCUACAGCAAUUCCAAAACUUUCAGUGAAAGACUCUCGCCCAAAGUGAGAAAGACCUUUCCCAGAAGCCCUUAGCCAUCUCUCUUUAAGUCCCUUUGAUCCACAUGGGGUUUUAUGACCCUUCCAAACCAAUCCCUGGCAAAGGGAAAUGGGAUAACCUAGACAAAAUAUUAAAAUGCCAUAUAUUAUUAAUUUUAUUUAAAAUAUUAAUUAUAUUUAAAUAUUUUGUCUUUAUGAAAAAAAAUUUUAAUGUAGUACAUGUGCUGAACAUAACAGUAUUUUAACUAUUUUCUCUUUAUGAAAAUUUUAAAAUGUAGUACAUGUGCUGAAAUAACAGUAUUAUAACUAUUAGAAUUGUCUUUCAUCUAAAAGGCUUUCAUUUACUCUUAACCGGACAGCGUUGGUCACUGAAACUUUUCUUAUGUAGAGACAAGGCAUAUGAAUAUAGUUGCAAAUACUUGUUCAAAAUAUGUUUAAAACUUCUUGCUUUCCCACUUUUUUUAGCUCUUGAUCUUUUCUUCAGUGUUCUUUUUUAGCUUUCUGCCACAGACAUAUUAAAUGGUAUAAAACUUAGAUUCUAAAUUAAGUCUUUUUUUCAACAUUCAUAGCAUUAUGCCCCAUUUUCAGCAUUUCAGCGGACUUUGCCACUCUCAAGAGACUUUCUUAGAUUUAGUUUCAGGCUGGACUCAAGGUUUUUAUUUUGCUUAGAGAAUUUGCGUUUGUGUGUUUCCACCUUGAACUUUGUUACCAAUAUUGAUCUGCUUUAUUCUUGUUGAUAUUUGCAUGGUUCGUUGUGUUUCUCUUUUUCUUUGCUUUCUGUUCAAGUUAUGGAACUUGAUGUCCUGCCAUCAAGGCCAAAUAAACAAUGCAGUGGUUUCCCUUUUCUUUGUUGUAAAUCAUACCACCUUGUUGACAAA